CUACGGGUCGCUGCAGUGAGGAAUAUUGCACAAUGGGGGGAACCCUGAUGCAGCAACGCCGCGUGGAGGAUGACGCAUUUCGGUGUGUAAACUCCUUUUAUAUGUCAAGAAAAUGACGGUAGCAUAUGAAUAAGCACCGGCUAACUCCGUGCCAGCAGCCGCGGUAAUAAGGAGGGUGCAAGUGUUACUCGGAAUCACUGGGCGUAAAGGACGCGUAGGCGGGUUGGAAAGUCAGGUGUGAAAUCCUACAGCUUAACUGUAGAACUGCACUUGAAACUUCUAAUCUAGAGUAUGGGAGGGGGAGAUGGAAUUAGUGGUGUAGGGGUAAAAUCCGUAGAUAUCACUAGGAAUACCUAAAGCGAAGGCGAUCUCCUGGAACAUUACUGACGCUAAGGCGUGAAAGCGUGGGGAGCAAACAGGAUUAGAUACCCCCGUAGUC
rnacentral:rRNA from 1 species